UAGUAGAGUGGCGAACGGGUGAGUAAUACAUCGGAACAUGUCCUGUAGCGGGGGAUAACCUCGAGAAAUCGAGGCUAAUACCGCAUACGUCCUAAGGGAGAAAGCGGGGGAUCGCAAGACCUCGCACUAUAGGAGUGGCCGAUGUCGGAUUAGCUAGUUGGCGGGGUAAUAGCCCACCAAGGCGACGAUCCGUAGCUGGUCUGAGAGGAUGAUCAGCCACACUGGGACUGAGACACGGCCCAGACUCC
rnacentral:rRNA from 1 species